rnacentral:rRNA from 1 species
CUGGCUCAGGACGAACGCUGGCGGCGUGCUUAACACAUGCAAGUCGAACGGGAGUAUUAAAGAAGCUUGCUUAGAGAUACUUUAGUGGCGGACGGGUGAGUAACGCGUGAGGAGCUGUCCUAUGCAGGGGGACAACAGCUGGAAACGGCUGCUAAUACCCCAUAAGCCGAGAGGUAAAAGGAUCAAUCCGGCAGAGGAGGUACUCGCGUCCUAUCAGCUAGUAGGUGAGGUAACGGCUCACCUAGGCGAAGACGGGUAGCCGGCCUGAGAGGGCGAACGGCCACACUGGAACUGAGAUACGGUCCAGACUCCUACGGGAGGCAGCAGUGGGGAAUAUUGGGCAAUGGGGGGAAAAACCCCCUGACCCAGCGACGCCGCGUGGGUGAAGAAAUCCUUCGGGAUGUAAAGCCCUGUUGUAUGGGAAGAGCGGAAGACGGUACCAUACGAGGAAGCCCCGGCAAACUACGUGCCAGCAGCGGC